UUUUCGUGGUUCGUUGUGCAAGAUAUUAUCGUCGUCUUUACUACUUAAUAGUACAAGUCUCACUCGAUGUUGGCGAAAGUAAUAUCGCCUUUCGCGUACAUAAUUACUAAUAUCUAGCAAAAACAAAACAAACACUCUUGCAAGCAACUUUGAACACUAUUGCUGCGUAAGAAAGUCCUUUUGUAUAAACCUGUCAACUUAGAAUAGAUACUUACAUCAUCUAAUUACAGUUGUUGCUCAGUCAUUCGUGUUUAUUAAUAGUUUUAUACAACUACACUUAUUAGGAUCCACUUUCUAAAACAACGCACACAGUUCAAAGUAUGUGGCCUAUACCGUUGUAAACAAGGAGGUACUAUCGUCCACACUGUUAACUGACAAUUUUUAUAUAAGAGUGUUGAUGUUAGUACAAAUAAAUAAGGAUAUCACUAAUCUAUCAUAUAACUUAGAUUAACGUUUAGAUGCUUUACCUACUAGCGCGCCAUCCGACAGGGCAGUAGGGUCUCCGGCCGGCCUUACGAGCAACGCAAUACUUAGGUUAGUGUAGUGUAGGUAGUGCUUCACGCGGUUAUCACACUGAUGCAUCCGCACGUUACGCUGGUGUGCGAGCGAGACGGAGCUGGAUAACACAUGGGGGGUGUCUGUCCUUGUCAUAGUCAAACUUUUCAUUUCUACCUACUUCUAAAAAGUCCUAAGUGCCCCGUCAAUACGGUGGACUGGACGUAUUGUUGUUACCCACCGGCUCCUGGUGGGUAACAAUGAACCCGACUAAAUUACACGUAUGUGGUUAGGUUGUUUUUGGUAUGUUGUCAGUGAUGUUACAAGUUACAACGUGUUUUUGAAUUCGUCGCAUUGCGUAUGUUCUGUCCCUCACGGGCGCACUCGUGUUUCUUCUCUAUAUUAUCGUAUCUCUAUGAUGCGCGUAUCGUAUGUACGAGUAUAUCGUCCCGCUCGCACACCGGAGCGGCGUGCGGCGCACACAAUGUGAAGACCGCCUUAGGCUGUGUCAACCGUCCAGGGGUCAAUAACCCAUUUCGUUCCACAUUAGGUACAGUCAUUUUUAUUAGAAUUUUGAUCAAGUUAUACUAGAGUGGCGCUAUUAUCAAUCCACAAUGGGUUUUGUUUUCAAAUUGACUGUAUUAUUUGUUUGAUAAGUAGCGAUUCCAACAUUUGGGGAGAUUUUUCUAAAUUAUUUUAAUAUAGCGAAAUUAACGUUUUAUCAACUUAAACAAUAUUAAUCAGGCAACCAGAAGUAAGAUUAUAUUUUUUAAAGUUAAAGAACACAAAAGGGACGAUUUGGGCUGGACACUAGUUGUUACUUGUGUGCUUAUGCUUUAUAAUUAUAUUGAUGUUUGAAAGUGACUAAGUUUACCCGAGUCAGCUUUUGAGGAAAAAUUGGCAACUUCUCCCAUUUUGAUGAAAUAAUUUAUUUUCUAUUAAUUACACAAUAGAGAAUGCCUUAAAUAUUUCUAAGCUUCAAAUUCUGCUAUUAAAAAUAAUCUAAAAGGCACCACGCCAACACGAAAUUGAAUCCUAAGUAAAUGUCUUUUAGGUUGAUAUUUCAUUAUGCACGCUUACAGUAGACUGUUGAAGGGUUUCCUCAAGAGAGAGUCACUAUAGGUACUAUCCGCAGAAAAAGCUGACCAUCUUUAACUCUUGCCUCGACUAAUAUGCAAGCGUGGAUAGGCGCGGGUCUACACACAACGAGCCGCCUCGCGAGGAAAUUGCCGCGCGAAGCAGUUCGGUCAGUGGACUGCCUCGCCCGAGCACGAGGCUAAUGAGAAGUUUUACGACCCCGGUCGUCAGUUUGGUUUGCGGAUAGUAUAGAUGCUGUGUUGUCCUGCCUUCAAGUAUUAUAAGAGCCUUAGGUUACUGACGGGACGGGGUAGAGAUACCAUUUUAAUGUCGCCAUAAUUUUGAUGAUAAUCACGUUUCGUUUAACCUUUUCAACGCUACAAGCCGUUGUCAGUGUUAAGACACAGUUUAGCCAUAGAUACAGGAAUAAUAAAGACACACAAAGUGAAACAAACUUAACUUUUGAUGAAAAUACAAUUAGAAAUCGUACAGCGCCAUCUAGUUGAUUGUUAAAAAGAUCUACGAUUGAUUCUUCCAUUUUGUGCCUACUUAUCUCUUGAUCUAUUGUAAUGUAUGUCUGGUUUAUAUGGUAUAGUAUAACGCUGUAAACUAUGACCACUUUAGACGUCAAAGGCGUUGAAAAGGUUAAGUGAUUCACAAAUGCCGUAUUUUAUUAACGACUUAAUUAAUUUUAAUGAUAGUUGUUGAUUUGUAAGAGUUUAAUGAAGUGAAUACAAACAUACCUCAUA